rnacentral:misc_RNA from 1 species
AAGUCGUAACAAGGUUUCCGUAGGUGAACCUGCGGAAGGAUCAUUAACACGUAUCUCAGGGACGUCUGCAAGGAGCGUGCAUGUUGUGCGUGUAAGGCCUGGCAUCCCCAAGCAGUUAGUGUCUGAAAGUGUCACUAACGUUAGUGUCUGAAAGUGUCACUAACAUGUGUAAGGAUGACGCAGUCACGAUCGUUGGAGGCCCACACGGCCGACGACCGGGUCACCGGGCGCAAGCCCCCUUAUCACACCCCUGCUCUAUCUAUGGUGAUCCUGCGGGAAGUCCUGCGGUCGAACGCCGAAACCGAACAACUGGUUCUC